rnacentral:rRNA from 1 species
UACGGGGGGAGCAAGCGUUGUUCGGAUUUACUGGGCGUAAAGGGCUCGUAGGUGGCCAACUAAGUCGGACGUGAAAUCCCUCGGCUUAACCGGGGAACUGCGUCUGAUACUGGAUGGCUUGAGUUCGGGAGAGGGAUGCGGAAUUCCAGGUGUAGCGGUGAAAUGCGUAGAUAUCUGGAGGAACACCGGUGGCGAAGGCGGCAUCCUGGACCGACACUGACGCUGAGGAGCGAAAGCCAGGGGAGCAAACGGG